rnacentral:rRNA from 1 species
UACGAAGGGGGCUAGCGUUGCUCGGAAUUACUGGGCGUAAAGGGCGCGUAGGCGGAUAGUUUAGUCAGAGGUGAAAGCCCAGGGCUCAACCCUGGAAUUGCCUUUGAUACUGGCUAUCUUGAGUUCGGGAGAGGUGAGUGGAACUCCGAGUGUAGAGGUGAAAUUCGUAGAUAUUCGGAAGAACACCAGUGGCGAAGGCGACUCACUGGCCCGAUACUGACGCUGAGGCGCGAAAGCCAGGGGAGCAAACGGG